rnacentral:rRNA from 1 species
UACCUUCGGGUAGUGGACAGUGGCAGACGGGUGAGUAACGCGUGGNAACCUACCUUUCAGUAAGGGACAACAGUUGGAAACGACUGCUAAUACCUUAUACGUCCUCCGGGAGAAAGAUUUAUCACUGAUAGAUGGGGCCGCGUUAGAUUAGCUUGUUGGUGAGGUAAUGGCUCACCAAGGCGACGAUCUAUAGCUGGUCUGAGAGGAUGAUCAGCCACACUGGGACUGAGACACGGCCCAGACUCCUACGGGAGGCAGCAGUGGGGAAUAUUGGACAAUGGGCGCAAGCCUGAUCCAGCAACGCCGCGUGAAUGAUGAAGGCCUUAGGGUUGUAAAAUUCUUUCGCUAGGGAAGAUAAUGACUGUACCUAGUAAAGAAGCCCCGGCUAACUCCGUGCCAGCAGCCGCGGUAAUACGGAGGGGGCUAGCGUUGUUCGGAAUUACUGGGCGUAAAGCGUGCGUAGGCGGAUCAAUAAGUAAGGGGUGAAAUCCCGAGGCUCAACCUCGGAACUGCCUCUUAAACUGUUGGUCUUGAGUUCUGGAGAGGUGAGUGGAAUUGCUAGUGUAGAGGUGAAAUUCGUAGAUAUUANCAGGAACACCAGAGGCGAAGGCGGCUCACUGGACAGAUACUGACGCUGANGCACGAAAGUGUGGGGAGCAAACAGGAUUAGAUACCCUGGNAGNCCACACCGUAACGAUGAGAGCUAGUUGUCUGCAAGCAUGCUUGUAGGUGACGCANCUAACGCAUUA